UUUGACGUCCAUGUCGUCGAAGGAGAGAAAACUAUUUACCGGAUGUUUUAUCCAGAUCUGGUGCCGGGGAAGAUUUCGGGGAGAAAGGACAAGAGGAAUUUGAGGAAGAAAAUGAGCAAGGACUAAUUGGCGGGCCAGUGACAUGGGAAGAAAUUAAAAGGGUGACUUUAAAAGAACGAGAAUUGAGACGAGUCAAAGCGUGCCUUAAGGGACGGAAACCGUGGCAAGAUGGAGACAAGACUUUUAAAUAUAUAUGCAAAAGGAGUUGGCAAUAAUAGAUGAAUUGCGAGGAAGUCGGAGUGUCAUACCGUCCAAGUUAAGGUAAGCAGUAAUAGCGAUGAUUCAUGCUGGGCAUCAAGGAAUGGAGUGGAUGAAACAAUGGGGACGGUGGGUGGCCGAAAACAACUCAGCCUUGGGAACGCAUUCACUUGGACUUUUUCGACUUCGAGAAUAAAAAAUAUAUAUAUAUAUACAGGUGGUAGAUUAUGAGGAAAAGGAUUAACAAUUCAAGUAGUAAUAAAAAUAUUGAAAAAUCUAUGGGCCAAAUGUGGGGUCGCUAUGAUGGUAGUAUCGGAUGGAGGUCCUACUUUUAUUAAUAAACAAUUCAAAGCCUUUUGUGUGGAAACUGGAGCGAAACACAUCUUAGCGCCGCCGUAUCAUCCGAGUUCAAAUGGACAAGCGGAGAGGAUGGUUGUGGUCAAGAACUGGUUGAGUAAGUCAAAGGAUGGGGGCGGAGAGAUGUGGGUAGCAGUGGCGUAUUAUAACAAAAGUCAAAAAAAAAGAGGAGGAGCCAUACCCAUCGGAAAAGUUUUUAGGACGAAGAACUAGAAUUUAGUUGGAUUCGCCGAAACCGACAAGUCAGGGAAAGAAACGGUUCGAGACCGAGAAUGAGGCGAAAUUAACGGUAGGGCAAGCAGUAUGGGCGAGAAUAUUUGGAAGUAACCGGAAAUGGGAGCCCGGGGUGAUUUUGGAAUAUAUGGGAAGUUGCCGACGGAAAACAGGGAUCAGCUCCGCAGACGGAUCGAGCCCGAAACGUCUGCAGGGAUUGCAAGAUAAAGGAAAUACCGGCGCAUAUGUUUUCGAUGUGGAAAAGAGGGACAUUUGAUGGAUAAAUGUCCGCAAAGGCCAACUGCAGCGGUGAACGAACGGAGCAUGAUCGGAGGCCCAGCUUUGGACAAAGGAACAAUGGCCAGACAGCAGGGAACGUCGAGUAUACGAGAGUGGACACCAAUAUGGACGCGAGAUGACCUAGGCGGGAAGUGGAAGUUGGGGGCAACCGGUGAAGAUGAAUGAUGACCAUAAUCCGAAAGACUGGGACACGGACACCGACAUCUUGACGGCAGAUAUGAAACCUGAAAGCGUGGAAUCAGUCGAAAAUUUAGAGGCGACUUAUCUUAUCCGACGGCUGCUCGUAAAAAGUUAAUAUUCCAUCCACCCUCGAACCAGUGGGCCUCUCAAACGAAAUCGCCAUAGCCCUGAUGGCAUAUCUCUCAUUCCCUGUGGACUAAUAAUCUCCCCCUAGCUUGGGACUAAACCUGUGUCGAUUUUGCCGCCAAGUCCAACCUCUCAUUUUCUGCCAUCGAAAAGGCCGAAAUCCUAAAAAAAACAAAUAUGCUUGCCUCACUAAUACUGUGUUCAUCCCAAUCGUUACCAAUACCCUAGGCACGUUCGGGUGAUGCUCUCAAUUUCAUCAAAACUAUAGGAAAAAAAUGAGGCAGAUCUCAGGGGAACCCAAUGAAGGAUUUUACCUUCAAUUUUUUAAGCAUUCACUCUUCUCUAGGGUGAUUUGUACCCUUUUUUUAAAUUUUAUUAUUUUUUUUAUCUCAUUUCUCUUUUAUGCGUACAUAUUUUUUAAUUCAUUUUUAAUAUAUUAUUAGUUAUUUUUAUGUAUAUUUUUUUUAAUUAUAAUUC